UGCCGAGUCCCACCUACCCCGCUCUCCGACACUUAGUUGCUCGAAGGCACACGCCACGACCCCUUUAGCACCGCAGAGACGCUCCAGCCGCUCAAUGGUGCCUCGUAGCACCGCCGUCAGAAUCUCCUUGGCAGUACGCCAGCGGCCGCAGCAAGUCCCUGCCAUGGCAGCACCUCUCAAGCCACAGCCUCACGCCAGCUGCCCACUGGAACAGCUCGAGCUCAUCCACGAGCUCGCCUGCUAGCGCCUGGUCCCCGCCAGCCGACCUCCAUGUCGCCCAUGCAACUGUCAUGAGAGGUAUCCAUUGCUGCCGCGGAACCGACCCCAAUGCGCUAUAAAUAGGGCGCCCUGAGCUCUCAGCCGCAACAUGAGCCCUCCACUGCCCCGCAGUAACCCUCCGUUUGAGCCAAUUGAGACCAAGAGGGUCAUCCUCUUCGUGUCCAGUAGCAAUGGCCGUCUCGGUCGAAUUCGACCUGAACAGACCCUAUCCCCUCCCUCUCUCGCUCCCAAAGCCCCGUGGAGUUCCCUUGAAUCCAUCCCGGGUCCAAAUUCGGCCUCAAGAGCACCAGAGAGAGAUUCCCAAAUUUUGGUCCCGUCGGAGCUUUUCGGGUUAGCACGCCGCCGACGGCUCUGCCCACUAUGGCGGCCUCGCAUCCCCUCCUCAGGACCGUCGUGACCCCCUGAGCUCCCUCGGGUGCUCGCCACCUCGCAUGAAGCCCCCCUUGCUGGUGUUGGUCGCCGAGCUCCGUCCCGGUUCUAUCACAGGAGGAGAAAGGAGGAGACCGGUCAAACCUGACCAAUUGGCUAGGCGGCACACUGUCAGUGACUCGCGAGUCACGCGUGUGCUGGAUAAGUGGCCGCGCAUGCCGUGAAAUUGCAUAUUUGGAAAAGUGCAUCCCGGUGGUAGCCCCGGAACCUAGGCACCGAAGACAGCAACCGCGUGAGAUAGGAAUUAUCCAGGUCAAUUGUUCCUGUUGGGAAUGGAGUCCAAUAGAUGUUGUAGAUCCCUGAACCGCUUCCGCCAUCAACAAGUAGAAAUCAUUUUGAUGUACUCCAUAGACCAUCUUGGUCAUGAACUUCAAAUCUGUAAUUUGAUUGGACGUUUGUAUCAAGGAUUUGUGUACUAGCUAACAAUA